rnacentral:rRNA from 1 species
AACGAACGCUGGCGGCGUGUUUAAGACAUGCAAGUCGCACGGUGUCAUUUUGGUAGCAAUACUUGGAUGGCACAGUGGCGCACGGGUGAGUAACACGUGAAUUACAUGCCCUGUAGAGGGGGAUAGCCCAGGGAAACUUGGAUUAAUACCCCAUGGUCUCGCAAGAGUAAAGGUGGCCGCAAGGCUGUCGCUACAGGAUUGGUUCGCGCCCUAUCAGCUUGUUGGCGGGGUAACGGCCCACCAAGGCUACGACGGGUACCUGGUCUGAGAGGACGAUCAGGCACACUGGAACUGAGACACGGUCCAGACACCUACGGGUGGCAGCAGACGAGAAUAAUUCACAAUGGGGGCAACCCUGAUGGUGCAACGCCGCGUGGAGGAUGACGGUCUUCGGAUUAUAAACUCCUGUCAUCCGGGAGCAAGACCUGGCGGUCAAUAGCCGACAGGGUUGAUAGUACCGGAAGAGGAAGGGACGGCUAACUUCGUGCCAGCAGCCGCGGUAAUAC